rnacentral:rRNA from 1 species
UGACUAAGCCAUGCAAGUUGAAUGUUCUUCGUGAACAUGGCGGACUGCUCAGUAACACGUGGACAACCUACCCUUGGGUCCGGCAUAAUCCUGGGAAACUGGGAAUAAUUCCGGAUAGGUCACCGAUGCUGGAAUGCGCGGUGGCCGAAAGCUCCGGCGCCCGAGGAUGGGUCUGCGGCCUAUCAGGGUUGUAGUGGGUGUAACGUACCUACUAGCCUACGACGGGUACGGGUUGUGAGAGCAAGAGCCCGGAGAUGGAUUCUGAGACACGAAUCCAGGCCCUACGGGGUGCAGCAGGCGCGAAAACUUUACAAUGCGGGAAACCGUGAUAAGGGGAUCUCGAGUGCCAGCAUAUAAUGUUGGCUGUCCAGAUGCCUAAAAAGCAUCUGUUAGCAAGGGCCGGGCAAGACCGGUGCCAGCCGCCGCGGUAACACCGGCGGCCCGAGUGGUAACCGCUAUUAUUGGGUCUAAAGGGUCUGUAGCCGGCCAGGUAAGUCCCUUGGGAAAUCUGGCAGCUCAACUGUCAGGCUGCUAGGGGAUACUGUUUGGCUUGGGACCGGGAGAGGUGAGAGGUACCUUGGGGGUAGGGGUGAAAUCUUGUGAUCCUCGAGGGACCACCAGUGGCGAAGGCGUCUCACCAGAACGGGUCCGACGGUAAGGGACGAAAGCUAGGGGCACGAACCGGAUUAGAUACCCGGGUAGUCCUAGCCGUAAACGAUGCUCGCUAGGUGUCAGUCACGGUGCGACCGUGAUUGGUGCCGUAGGGAAGCCGUGAAGCGAGCCACCUGGGAAGUAUGGCCGCAAGGCUGAAACUUAAAGGAAUUGGCGGGGGAGCA